UAAUACGGAGGGUGCAAGCGUUAUCCGGAUUCAUUGGGUUUAAAGGGUGCGUAGGCGGGGUGGUAAGUCAGUGGUGAAAUCCUGCAGCUCAACUGUAGAAUUGCCAUUGAUACUGCCAUUCUUGAGUGCGCUUGAAGUAGGCGGAAUGUGCCGUGUAGCGGUGAAAUGCUUAGAUAUGGCACAGAACACCAAUUGCGAAGGCAGCUUACUAAGGCGAUACUGACGCUGAGGCACGAAAGCGUGGGGAUCGAACAGGAUUAGAUACCCUGGUAGUCCACGCCGUAAACGAUGAUCACUCGUGAUUGGCGAUAUACGGUCAGUCACCUAGCGAAAGCGUUAAGUGAUCCACCUGGGGAGUACGAUCGCAAGAUUG
rnacentral:rRNA from 1 species